rnacentral:rRNA from 1 species
CCUCCUACGGGAGGCAGCAGUGGGGAAUAUUGGGCAAUGGGCGCAAGCCUGACCCAGCAACGCCGCGUGAAGGAAGAAGGCUUUCGGGUUGUAAACUUCUUUUAAGAGGGAAGAGCAGAAGACGGUACCUCUUGAAUAAGCCACGGCUAACUACGUGCCAGCAGCCGCGGUAAUACGUAGGUGGCAAGCGUUAUCCGGAUUUAUUGGGUGUAAAGGGCGUGUAGGCGGGAACGCAAGUCAGAUGUGAAAACUCAGGGCUCAACCCUGAGCCUGCAUUUGAAACUGUGGUUCUUGAGUGCUGGAGG